UACGGAGGAUGCGAGCGUUAUCCGGAUUUAUUGGGUUUAAAGGGUGCGUAGGCGGGUUAUCAAGUCAGCGGUAAAAUCGUGGAGCUCAACUCCAUCCAGCCGUUGAAACUGAUGGUCUUGAGUGGGCGAGAAGUAUGCGGAAUGCGUGGUGUAGCGGUGAAAUGCAUAGAUAUCACGCAGAACUCCGAUUGCGAAGGCAGCAUACCGGCGCCCGACUGACGCUGAAGCACGAAAGCGUGGGUAUCGAACAGG
rnacentral:rRNA from 1 species